AGAGGUCACAUCUGCAGCCUCAGGAUGAUGAACACACUCACUCUUCUGCUGGUUGCUCUCUCUCUACCCUGUUGUACAGGUCAGAGUAUGGAGUCCAUUCCUUCCAGCUCAGUACUGAAGAGGCCCGGGGAGACUCUCAGUCUCUCCUGUCGGGGAUCAGGCUUCACCUUUAGCUGCUGUGUUAUGAGCUGGAUCAAACAACCUGCAGGAAAAGCCCUGGAAUGGAUCGGGAGCGGCUACUCUGAUCCCAGCAGAAACACUUAUGGGAGCAGUGUGCGAGGACGAGUUGGAAUCAGGAGAGAUGACAGCAGCAGCAUGGUGUAUCUGAGUCUGUCCAACUUACAGCCUGGAGACUCUGCUGGGUAUUACUGUGCCAGAGACCCACAACAACACAAACCAUCUGUAGAGCUGAACAAAAACCCCUCAGAGCCUGAACACCUGUGACAUGAAGCCACCAGAGGAGGAGCCCUCAGACCAACAAUGAUCAAACUAUGAAAAACUGUUGUUGGUUGGAGGAUGCAUUACAAACAUGAAUCUUU